rnacentral:rRNA from 1 species
GACGAACGCUGGCGGCGUGCUUAACACAUGCAAGUCGAGUGGAAAGGCCCUUCGGGGUCCUCGAGCGGCGAACGGGUGAGUAACACGUGAGUAACCUGCCCCAGACUUUGGGAUAACCCUCGGAAACGGGGGCUAAUACCGGAUACGACACAGCUUCGCAUGGGGUCUGUGUGGAAAGUUUUUCGGUUUGGGAUGGGCUCGCGGCCUAUCAGCUUGUUGGUGGGGUGAUGGCCUACCAAGGCGACGACUGGUAGCCGGCCUGAGAGGGCGACCGGCCACACUGGGACUGAGACACGGCCCAGACUCCUACGGGAGGCAGCAGUGGGGAAUAUUGCACAAUGGGCGGAAGCCUGAUGCAGCGACGCCGCGUGAGGGAUGACGGCCUUCGGGUUGUAAACCUCUUUCAGCAGGGACGAAGCGUAAGUGACGGUACCUGCAGAAGAAGCGCCGGCCAACUACGUG